rnacentral:lncRNA from 1 species
GAGGAUCCUGAAUAUCUUCCUGAUGGGGAACAUGAGGAACUGAAUGAACAAUACUUGGGGUAUGAAUUUGAGAACCCAGUUGAGUAUGACAAUAUGUGCCGCAAAGCUGACAUCCUGUAUGAACAAGAAAUGUAUGAUGAUUAUAGACGUUUAGAUAGAGAUCUUACUCGUGCUAAUGGCAGAAGAGUUUAUGAUUGUUCCAGUGAUAUAAUCUUAGAUUCUAUGUUGACUAGGAAAAGGAUUCAGAUGAGCGAUAUAGCUACCUGUGAUGGGAAGUUAGAUCUACGAGACCAUCUGAGAAGACGAAGGGAAAGUAGUGGUCCACCUGAUGCGAGUUUCAUCAGACGAC